ACCGGCGAUUUCCGAAUGGGGAAACCCAGUGUGUUUCGACACACUAUCAUUAACUGAAUCCAUAGGUUAAUGAGGCGAACCGGGGGAACUGAAACAUCUAAGUACCCCGAGGAAAAGAAAUCAACCGAGAUUCCCCCAGUAGCGGCGAGCGAACGGGGAGGAGCCCAGAGCCUGAAUCAGUGUGUGUGUUAGUGGAAGCGUCUGGAAAGGCGCGCGAUACAGGGUGACAGCCCCGUACACAAAAAUGCACAUGCUGUGAGCUCGAUGAGUAGGGCGGGACACGUGGUAUCCUGUCUGAAUAUGGGGGGACCAUCCUCCAAGGCUAAAUACUCCUGACUGACCGAUAGUGAACCAGUACCGUGAGGGAAAGGCGAAAAGAACCCCGGCGAGGGGAGUGAAAAAGAACCUGAAACCGUGUACGUACAAGCAGUGGGAGCCUCUUAAUGGGGUGACUGCGUACCUUUUGUAUAAUGGGUCAGCGACUUAUAUUCUGUAGCAAGGUUAACCGAAUAGGGGAGCCGAAGGGAAACCGAGUCUUAACUGGGCGUUAAGUUGCAGGGUAUAGACCCGAAACCCGGUGAUCUAGCCAUGGGCAGGUUGAAGGUUGGGUAACACUAACUGGAGGACCGAACCGACUAAUGUUGAAAAAUUAGCGGAUGACUUGUGGCUGGGGGUGAAAGGCCAAUCAAACCGGGAGAUAGCUGGUUCUCCCCGAAAGCUAUUUAGGUAGCGCCUCGUGAAUUCAUCUCCGGGGGUAGAGCACUGUUUCGGCAAGGGGGUCAUCCCGACUUACCAACCCGAUGCAAACUGCGAAUACCGGAGAAUGUUAUCACGGGAGACACACGGCGGGUGCUAACGUCCGUCGUGAAGAGGGAAACAACCCAGACCGCCAGCUAAGGUCCCAAAGUCAUGGUUAAGUGGGAAACGAUGUGGGAAGGCCCAGACAGCCAGGAUGUUGGCUUAGAAGCAGCCAUCAUUUAAAGAAAGCGUAAUAGCUCACUGGUCGAGUCGGCCUGCGCGGAAGAUGUAACGGGGCUAAACCAUGCACCGAAGCUGCGGCAGCGACACUAUGUGUUGUUGGGUAGGGGAGCGUUCUGUAAGCCUGUGAAGGUGGCCUGUGAGGGUUGCUGGAGGUAUCAGAAGUGCGAAUGCUGACAUAAGUAACGAUAAAGCGGGUGAAAAGCCCGCUCGCCGGAAGACCAAGGGUUCCUGUCCAACGUUAAUCGGGGCAGGGUGAGUCGACCCCUAAGGCGAGGCCGAAAGGCGUAGUCGAUGGGAAACAGGUUAAUAUUCCUGUACUUGGUGUUACUGCGAAGGGGGGACGGAGAAGGCUAUGUUGGCCGGGCGACGGUUGUCCCGGUUUAAGCGUGUAGGCUGGUUUUCCAGGCAAAUCCGGAAAACCAAGGCUGAGGCGUGAUGACGAGGCACUACGGUGCUGAAGUGACAAAUGCCCUGCUUCCAGGAAAAGCCUCUAAGCAUCAGGUAACAUCAAAUCGUACCCCAAACCGACACAGGUGGUCAGGUAGAGAAUACCAAGGCGCUUGAGAGAACUCGGGUGAAGGAACUAGGCAAAAUGGUGCCGUAACUUCGGGAGAAGGCACGCUGAUAUGUAGGUGAAGCGACUUGCUCGUGGAGCUGAAAUCAGUCGAAGAUACCAGCUGGCUGCAACUGUUUAUUAAAAACACAGCACUGUGCAAACACGAAAGUGGACGUAUACGGUGUGACGCCUGCCCGGUGCCGGAAGGUUAAUUGAUGGGGUUAGCGGUAACGCGAAGCUCUUGAUCGAAGCCCCGGUAAACGGCGGCCGUAACUAUAACGGUCCUAAGGUAGCGAAAUUCCUUGUCGGGUAAGUUCCGACCUGCACGAAUGGCGUAAUGAUGGCCAGGCUGUCUCCACCCGAGACUCAGUGAAAUUGAACUCGCUGUGAAGAUGCAGUGUACCCGCGGCAAGACGGAAAGACCCCGUGAACCUUUACUAUAGCUUGACACUGAACAUUGAGCCUUGAUGUGUAGGAUAGGUGGGAGGCUUUGAAGUGUGGACGCCAGUCUGCAUGGAGCCGACCUUGAAAUACCACCCUUUAAUGUUUGAUGUUCUAACGUUGGCCCCUAAUCGGGGUUGCGGACAGUGUCUGGUGGGUAGUUUGACUGGGGCGGUCUCCUCCUAAAGAGUAACGGAGGAGCACGAAGGUUGGCUAAUCCUGGUCGGACAUCAGGAGGUUAGUGCAAUGGCAUAAGCCAGCUUGACUGCGAGCGUGACGGCGCGAGCAGGUGCGAAAGCAGGUCAUAGUGAUCCGGUGGUUCUGAAUGGAAGGGCCAUCGCUCAACGGAUAAAAGGUACUCCGGGGAUAACAGGCUGAUACCGCCCAAGAGUUCAUAUCGACGGCGGUGUUUGGCACCUCGAUGUCGGCUCAUCACAUCCUGGGGCUGAAGUAGGUCCCAAGGGUAUGGCUGUUCGCCAUUUAAAGUGGUACGCGAGCUGGGUUUAGAACGUCGUGAGACAGUUCGGUCCCUAUCUGCCGUGGGCGCUGGAGAACUGAGGGGGGCUGCUCCUAGUACGAGAGGACCGGAGUGGACGCAUCACUGGUGUUCGGGUUGUCAUGCCAAUGGCACUGCCCGGUAGCUAAAUGCGGAAGAGAUAAGUGCUGAAAGCAUCUAAGCACGAAACUUGCCCCGAGAUGAGUUCUCCCUGAGACUUAGAGUCUCCUGAAGGAACGUUGAAGACGACGACGUUGAUAGGCCGGGUGUGUAAGCGCAGCGAUGCGUUGAGCUAACCGGUACUAAUGAACCGUGAGGCUUAACCUUACAACGCCGAAG
rnacentral:rRNA from 1 species